rnacentral:misc_RNA from 1 species
UUUAAAAUUUUAAAAUUUUAAAAAUAAUUUCAAUAUAAUUACCGCAAAUAUAAUAUCACGAUUCAUUCAAUUUAAAAUCUAAAAUAAUUUUUAGGUGAAAAUUUAAAAAUAUUUUUAAUAUGUCUACCAAACUUCUCAUGCAAAGCCUAUAUUUGAGCUUAGAGUUUCAAGAGUCGACAAUUAUUUAAUUUGGACCUUCCUUAUUUUAAUAUGUCUAACAAAAAGAAAACCAGAGUUCCGCCAAUGAGUUUUAACUCUUUAAUACUUUCUUAUUUACAAAAUUAUAAAAUCUCAAAUUCGUGUUUCAAUAAAAGCCUAAAAGCCUGGUUAUAUAUUGAAAGCAAUUAGAUGAAAGAAAGCCUAUUUUGCCAUAUUAUUUUGAUGUAAUACUAAUUAGUCCUAAUUUUUUUUUUUUACAAAAAGGAAAAACUCUUAAGCUUCAUUCAUAUGUAAUUAAAUGGUACUUACAUUCAAAAUUAAUAACAAAAAAUCAAUCAAAUGAUCACAAUAUAUUUGAAUUUUUUAAAUACUCUCCAUUGAUAAGAAAAAAAAAAUGCCUCCAUGGAAAACCUUUCUCCAAAAAUUUGAAAAAAAUAAGCAAAAAAUGUUUUCAUUGGAAAAAAAAAAUGGAAAAAAAAUUGUAAGAAUUUAACUUCGUAAUAUUACUUUUGUGGGGAAAUGUUAC